CAGAGAAUAGUUUAAUAUAAAAUUCUGGUUUUGGGGACCAGAGAUGGAUGUCCUUCUUUGA
rnacentral:tRNA from 1 species